AUAAAUGUCAUUACUCAUUACAAUAUUACACAAUAACAGGACAUCAUUUUGAGCCCCACUCAGAAUUUUGAAAAGACUUUGGCUUAUGAGCAAAAAGUCUUAAAACUUGACCAUACCCAACCUGCUUGUUUACUUGGUCAGGGAAAGCCCCCAAAUGUCCAUAAAAUAAACAAAUGCAGUUCAUAAUUAUAAAAUAAAACUUCAUUCGACUAGAUUCAUUUGUGUCUUGGAAACUGAAUAUGAUAAACUAACGAGAGAUAUGUUUUGAUCAUGUAUAGGGCCCUGCUUAGCUGCCAUAGAGGUUGACAGUGUCAAAGUCAGAAACACAGCCACAGUCCUGCCGAUAAGAAGACCACCUACAAUACAAAA